rnacentral:lncRNA from 1 species
UUUCCAUGAGUUUUAUUCAUGUUUUCUUGAAUUAAGUUCAAUAUUUCUUGAAUUAAGUUUGUUUUUAUUUCUAGGGUUUGUUAUGAAAUAAUUUUGUUUUGGGUAAUUAAGUUAUGUUUCUUAAUUUCUUAGCUAGGUUAAUUAACCCCCCUCCCCAUGAAUUUUUUAUGGUUUUUAUUAAUGAUUUUCUUUUAUCUUUUGGAAUAUUUUUAACCAUGGCCUUGUUUAGCAAGCACGAUCGAUGAGUAGUUAUGGAUUA